GCUUACUGAAAUAUGACUGACGAGUGCUCCGCCUACUGUUGAGGACCAAGUGAGAAUCUGAGAGUCACUGUUACUCUGCUUUUUUUUCGGGCAUAAAGAGUCGCACGGAGAAAAACAAAACAAUAUAGGAGCUUCUGGUCCAAUGUUUAUAACCCAGAAUUAUAAUUUACUGGAAACUGUGUUGUAAACCACUGAUGGGAACGAUUAGAAACGAUGUGUCAUUGAUCGGCUACUUCUGUUAUCUUUUAGUAAUUCCAGAUGCGAAGCACUAGUUGAUUUCCACGCUGUGCAUAAAAAAGAAAUAUGUAACUCGUUCUAAAUAAUGAAUAUUUUAUUUGUAUUCAAGUUUAGGUUUUAGAUGGGCUUCUGAACACACCUUCUCGUUUCGAAGCAUAUUGCUUGCUAAUUUCUGGCAUACCAUUACUGUAUGACUUGCUGGUUACUUUUUCGACCAUUAUCAUUCAGCUCUUGUUGCACAUUUGGAGAACAGCCUGUUCUCUUUGAGUUUUCUGUUCUCAGUAACAGACUUGUGCUCCUAACAGCAUAACCAUUUGGGAAUUUUUAACACUGUGGUCCAUAUCAAUGACACUGGCUUCCCACAACAGUGCUGCUACUCAGGAUUUAUGGCAACUUAUGGCACUACAUGAAUAGCAGAGAAAGUGUUUUUCUGUGUUAUGGAUCUCGUCUUAAACAAGCAGCAUUUAGAGAAUGUGCUAGCACAGUUUGCACAACAACUAAGUAAAAUCAUCUGAUGGAAAACCCACCUGAAGCCAACCAAGUUCUACUACUGUUUCCAGGCCACAUCCUCUUAGUGACCUCAUUUCUGCUUGCCCCCUCUGGACCCUCCCCUUCCUUCCCACAGCCAAUAAAAACAACCGCCUGCCUUUUCCUUCCCAGUUCUGUCCUGGACUCAGUCAUUUGAGACUGCUCUACAUUCAUCAUUUUGCGAUUUUGUUAUUAAUAUGCAGGGUGGAACCCCAAACCCUCUCUUUUUUUACAACUGCUAAAACGUAGAGAUUGUCAUAAACAGUAUGUAGGCCUAGGAUAAAUAUUUAAUUUCAAACUGUAUUUUGAGUAUUCUAAGCCAAGGCUUUUAAACAUGCACUUUGAGAAGGUGCUUAUGGCCACAGAAUACAUUUUGUCUGCCACCCAGGCAUUGGCAAUAAAUAGUGUCUUUAAGUAUAUGAGUCUAUUUAGAGUUAAAUUCAUGCCCAAAACAUACACAUUCAAUUAUCUGUGAAGAGAGUUUGCAAUAAAUUUUCUUGUCACAUGGUAAACACUACACAUGUAAAACAAGUCAAGUAAGCACACAAAACCAAGAUAGUGCACACAUACAAAGAAUAAAGUAUCCAAACAAAACUUAUUUUGUACUAUUGAGCAAGGAAGUGUGAUGAGUCUCUUAUGUAGACCUUUACAGGGAGUAUACCUAAAGAGUAGUAGUAUUAGAGGGGUAAAACAAUUAUUCAUGCAGUUUCCAUUUCCUUCUCUAGAAUGGAGAAAUGCUACUAGGAAGAGGAUUGGUGUCACUUCUGUUCUGACUCCAGCCCUGUCCCUUUUGGCUCAGAUGAAUAAAAGGACCAUAUCAUCGUAUGACAUUACCAGGUGACCAGCAAACCUAAAGGCCAGUAGGCGGCACUUCUGCAACAUCAGUUUCUAUUGGAACACUGUGAUGGUGUUGAUGAGGGUGGUGUACUGCAGUGUUUCCAUCUUCUUUUUCAUUCAGUUUCGCAAGAAAGUUUAAUGGGGUCAACCAGUUGUAGUCUCAACCUUUCAUCACAUAAUGUAUCCUUCCUUAACAUACAGUUGUGCUUGAAAGUUUGUGAACCCUUUAGAAUUUUC